rnacentral:rRNA from 1 species
AAACCAACUGGGAUUACCUUAGUAACGGCGAGUGAAGCGGUAAAAGCUCAAAUUUGAAAUCUGGUACUUUCAGUGCCCGAGUUGUAAUUUGUAGAAUUUGUCUUUGAUUAGGUCCUUGUCUAUGUUCCUUGGAACAGGACGUCAUAGAGGGUGAGAAUCCCGUUUGGCGAGGAUACCUUUUCUCUGUAAGACUUUUUCGAAGAGUCGAGUUGUUUGGGAAUGCAGCUCAAAGUGGGUGGUAAAUUCCAUCUAAAGCUAAAUAUUGGCGAGAGACCGAUAGCGAACAAGUACAGUGAUGGAAAGAUGAAAAGAACUUUGAAAAGAGAGUGAAAAAGUACGUGAAAUUGUUGAAAGGGAAGGGCAUUUGAUCAGACAUGGUGUUUUUUAAAUGUGCAAGUCUCUCGUGGACAUGUGCCUCUGGGAAAUUAACACUGGGCCAACAUCAGUUCUGGCGGCAGGAUAAAUCAUUAAGAAUGUAGCUACCUCGGUAGUGUUAUAGCUUUUUGGAAUACUGCCAGCUU